rnacentral:rRNA from 1 species
GACGAACGCUGGCGGCGUGCCUAAUACAUGCAAGUAGAACGCUGAAGAGAGUAGCUUGCUCUUCUUGGAGGAGUUGCGAACGUGUGAGUAACGAGUAGGUAACCUGCCUUGGAGCGGGGGAUAACUAUUUGAAACGAUAGCUAAUACCGCAUACCAAUGGAUGACACAUGUCAUUUGUUUGAAAGGGGCAAUUGCUCCACUACAAGAUGGACCUGCGUUGUAUUAGCUAGUAGGUGAGGUCAUGGCUCACCUAGGCGACGAUACAUAGCCGACCUGAGAGGGUGGUCGGCCACACUGGGACUGAGACACGGCCCAGACUCCUACGGGAGGCAGCCGUAGGGAAUCUUCGGCAAUGGGGGCAACCCUGACCGAGCAACGCCGCGUGAGUGAAGAAGGUUUUCGGAUCGUAAAGCUCUGUUGUAAGUCAAGAACGGGUGUGAGAGUGGAAAGUUCACACUGUGACGGUAGCUUACCAGAAAGGGACGGCUAACUACGUG